AACGCUGGCGGCGCGCCUAAUACAUGCAAGUCGAACGGAAACCUUCGGGUUUUAGUGGCGAACGGGUGAGUAACACGUAAGCAACCUGCCUUUAAGACGUGGAUAACAAUUGGAAACAGUUGCUAAGACUGGAUAGGAAAUUAAGAGGCAUCUUUUAAUUUUUAAAAGACCUUUUUCGAAAGGUAUGCUUAAAGAGGGGCUUGCGCCACAUUAGUUAGUUGGUAAGGUAAAGGCUUACCAAGACGAUGAUGUGUAGCUGGACUGAGAGGUCGAACAGCCACAUUGGGACUGAGACACGGCCCAAACUCCUACGGGAGGCAGCAGUAAGGAAUUUUUGGCAAUGGAGGAAACUCUGACCGAGCGACGCCGCGUGAACAAUGAAGUACUUCGGUAUGUAAAGUUCUUUUAUUGAAAAAGAAAAAAUAGUGGAAAAACUAUCUUGACAUUAUUCAAUGAAUAAGCCCCGGCUAAUUAUGUGCCAGCAGCCGCGGUAAUACAUAAGGGGCGAGCGUUAUCCGGAAUUAUUGGGCGUAAAGGGUGCGUAGGCGGUUUGAUAAGUCUAUAGUUUAAAUGCAGUGCUUAACGCUGUAGCGCUAUAGAAACUGUCUGACUAGAGUUAGAUAGAGGCAAGCGGAAUUCCAUGUGUAGCGGUAAAAUGCGUAAAUAUAUGGAGGAACACCAGAGGCGUAGGCGGCUUGCUGGGUCUUAACUGACGCUGAGGCACGAAAGCGUGGGGAGCAAACAGGAUUAGAUACCCUGGUAGUCCAUGCCGUAAACGAUGAGUACUAAGUGUCGGGUUUCGGCUCGGUACUGAAGUUAACACAUUAAGUACUCCGCCUGAGUAGUACGUACGCAAGUAUGAAACUUAAAGGAAUUGACGGGACCCCGCACAAGCGGUGGAUCAUGUUGUUUAAUUCGAAGAUACACGAAAAACCUUACCAGGUCUUGACAUAAUUUUGCGACAUUAUAGAAAUAUAAUGAAGGUUAUCAGAAUUACAGGUGGUGCAUGGUUGUCGUCAGCUCGUGUCGUGAGAUGUUAGGUUAAGUCCUAAAACGAGCGCAACCCUUGUCGUUAGUUGCGACCACGUAAUGGUGAGCACUUUAGCGAGACUGCCAAUGAAAAAUUGGAGGAAGGUGAGGAUUACGUCAAAUCAUCAUGCCCCUUAUGAUCUGGGCUACAAACGUGAUACAAUGGCUGUUACAAAGAGUAGCUACAACGUGAGUUUUUAGCCAAUCUCAAAAAAACAGUCUCAGUUCGGAUUGAAGUCUGCAACUCGACUUCAUGAAGUUGGAAUCGCUAGUAAUCGCGAAUCAGCAUGUCGCGGUGAAUACGUUCUCGGGGUUUGUACACACCGCCCGUCAAACCACGAAAGUUGAUAAUACCCGAAAGCGGUCGCCUACUUCGUCAGAAGAGGGAGCCGUCUAAGGUAG
rnacentral:rRNA from 1 species